GACGAACGCUGGCGGCGUGCCUAAUACAUGCAAGUAGAACGCUGAAGAGAGGAGCUUGCUCUUCUUGGAUGAGUUGCGAACGGGUGAGUAACGCGUAGGUAACCUGCCUGGUAGCGGGGGAUAACUAUUGGAAACGAUAGCUAAUACCGCAUAAAAUUGAUUAUUGCAUGAUAAUUAAUUGAAAGAUGCAAUUGCAUCACUACCAGAUGGACCUGCGUUGUAUUAGCUAGUUGGUGAGGUAACGGCUCACCAAGGCGACGAUACAUAGCCGACCUGAGAGGGUGAUCGGCCACACUGGGACUGAGACACGGCCCAGACUCCUACGGGAGGCAGCAGUAGGGAAUCUUCGGCAAUGGGGGGAACCCUGACCGAGCAACGCCGCGUGAGUGAAGAAGGUUUUCGGAUCGUAAAGCUCUGUUGUAAGAGAAGAACGGGUGUGAGAGUGGAAAGUUCACACUGAGGCGGAUCUACCAGAAAG
rnacentral:rRNA from 1 species